rnacentral:rRNA from 1 species
UACAGAGGUCUCAAGCGUUGUUCGGAUUCAUUGGGCGUAAAGGGCGCGUAGGCUGCUGGGUAAGUCGGAUGUGAAAUCUCAGGGCUCAACCCUGAAACUGCAUUCGAUACUGCUCGGCUUGAGGACUGGAGAGGAGACUGGAAUUUACGGUGUAGCAGUGAAAUGCGUAGAUAUCGUAAGGAAGACCAGUGGCGAAGGCGGGUCUCUGGACAGUUCCUGACGCUGAGGCACGAAGGCCAGGGGAGCAAACGGG